rnacentral:tRNA from 1 species
GUGGUGGCUGGGUGGCAGAGUGCUUGCCUUGCAUGCACGAGGCACUGGGUUCAAUCCUCAGCACCACG